GAUUCUAGACCUCCAAACUCCCCUAUCAAGGGUCAUGUCCUCGGAAACCUGCAUUCUAGUCAUGUCCUGCCUAAUCACCUCUCCCCAAGGCUUCUUAGGCCUUCCUCUUCCUCGCCGACCGCCAAAAAUCUCCAACCGCUCACAGCUCCUCACCGGGGCAUCGGGACCCCUCCCCCGAACAUGCCCGAACCACCUCAGCCUCGCUUCCCG
rnacentral:lncRNA from 1 species